UGUCACUGGCAAACGAGUUGAAGCCUGUUGAACAACAAACGUCAUUGCUACACGAUAGCAUUAAAUGCCAAUAUUUAAAGCUUCCAGAGAAAACAUGUGCCAAGAGGAUGCUCAGGUGUCCUAUUGGAAAUUCUAGGCCUGUGUGCUCAGCAGUGAUUAUCCCAGAGCAGCUUUUGAGAGAUGGCACAUCAAAAUAAUUUGUAUACCUGAG